rnacentral:rRNA from 1 species
CCUACGGGUGGCAGCAGUUGGGAAUCUUGCACAAUGGGGGAAACCCUGAUGCAGCGACGCCGCGUGGAGGACGAAGGAUCUAGGUCUGUAAACUCCUUUUUCACGGAAAGACUUAGGACGGUACCGUGAGAAUAAGCACCGGCUAACUACGUGCCAGCAGCCGCGGUAAGACGUAGGGUGCAAGCGUUGUCCGGAUUUACUGGGCGUAAAGAGCGCGUAGGCGGCUCGUUAAGUAUGAAGUGAAAUCUCCAGGGCUCAACCCGGAAACUGCUUCGUAGACUGGCGAGCUUGAGGAAUGCAGAGGUAAGUGGAAUUCCUGGUGUAGCGGUGAAAUGCGUAGAUAUCAGGAGGAACACCGACGGCGAAGGCAGCUUACUGGGCAUUAUCUGACGCUGAGGCGCGAAAGCGUGGGUAGCAAACAGGAUUAGAUACCCUGGUAGUC